rnacentral:lncRNA from 1 species
AACCUAGAGUUCAGAGGUUGAGCUCCAGCCAAUCUUGACUGUGAGACUUGUCACUCACAUCCAUGAAGCUAGCCCAGCCUCAGUAGGGAGCACAAAAUGAUUCCAGUCACCCAGGUGAAAACAUAAGACUAACAGGUAACCAGAAUAGAGAGAAGAUAUUGGUCAUAGGAGAGUUAUAUGUGAUCCAUACAAGAUGCCAAAGAUGUGGUUUUGGAAAGGACAGGUGGGCCAGGAGAGAACCUGCAGGCAUAAUGGUGGUGGUGGGGGGGGGGGGGGGUGUUGUACACAGAGGGCUCCUGUUCCAGAUCUGUCACCCUAGCUUCUCUCUUCCCAACCAGAUAUGCUGCCAGAGAGGCUCUGAGAUCCACAAGAAGUGCAUCAGCCAGGAGGCAUCUGGAUCAAAAGCUGGUGAGGUUUGUGCUCCAGCUGUAACACCACAAGUGACCACGGCAGUUAGUGCCUGAGAACACAAGGCACACUCAGCAAAACGGGAAAGGGAAAGAAGCGCCCGCCAGGAGCAGAUGGAGGAAGAGCAGCAGACCUCAAGUUCUACCGCAUGGUGGCAGCAAGUGCCCGGUCAUCUGAAGGUUCUACUUCACCCCGGGAGACCACAGCAUCUGUAGAAAUUGUCAGCCAGUGAGGCGCGUCUAGAUUUCCAACCUCCUCUAUCUGUCUAAAGAACGUAUAGGAAGUGAAGACCAGCUGUCAAAUCAUUGAAAAGGACUUUAGGACUUUAAACUGUCCUUGCUUAGCCUCAAUUGUCCUAUCUUUAUAAUGGACAUAUUAAUAUUCCUUCAAAAUAUAUGACAUCAUUUGAAAACUGGCUGCAAAAUAAUUUAAAAGGAAAGGUUCCAAAUGCUUCAGAAACAAACUACGGGGAAGACUUUUUGAGGUGAGGAUAGAGACCAGUGUUUGAGGUGGAAGUGAGCUAAGGUUGGAGCUGUAGGACCUUCUAGUUUACUCAUAUUUACUGAGCAACUCCUAUCUGCCUAACCAUGUUGCUAAGCAUAAUUGGGGAUACAAAUUUGCACAAAUAGGCUUACCACAAAUAGGCUUUAAUAAUUAUUAUUAUUAUUUCCAACUGUGAGUUCCUUUAUUUUUCGGUAAAACAUUCCCACAUAUUUGGAAAGACAAAAUGAAUACAUGAAACAUGCAGAGAUAAAGUGCUAAACUUUGGGAAUAUACAGAGCUAAAAAUUAAGACAGUGGCACGAAAGGGGGAAAGAAGACAGGGCUUGGAGAAAGAUGACCUGGGUUCAAAUCUGUUUGGGUCUCUGUCCGUCAUUUAAUCUCGAAGUAUCUGCUUUCAGCACCUGGCAUGGGGCCCCACACAUGACUGGUGCUCCAUACCUGCUCUUUGAAAGAAUGAAUGCAUUUGUAAAGUGGGAACAAUAAAAUAAUGCUAGUCCCUGUGACUGCAAGGAUUAAAUGAGAUCAUGAAUUCAAACAGGCUUUGUAAUUCAUAAAAUGCCAUGACAUAUUAUUAAAAGCUAAUUGUAUGGCCAAACAAUAAAAAAGGCUAAAGUAGGGGGUGCCUGGGUGGCUCAGUCAGUUAAGCAUCUGUCUUGGGCUCGGGUCAUGAUCCUGGGGUCCUGGGAUGGAGGCCCACACUGGGCUCCUUGCUCAACCGGGAGUCUGCUUCCCUCUCUCCCCCUGCCUGCUGCUCUGCCUAUUUGUGUUCUAUGUCUGCCAAAUAAAUUAAUUUAAUUUAAUUAAUUUAAUUUAAUUUAAUUUAAAAAGCUAAAGUAAGGAUGAAGGGGUCACUGUAUACCAACGAUCCCAAGGAAGGCUUGUCCGAGGUGAGGAGGAGAAAUGAAGUUCUAAAUCAAGCUUCUCCACCACUGCCAGCAAAUCCGCAUCCAGGAGGUGCCUACCAGGGAGCGGGGGCAGAUUGUGCCCUUACUAAGAGGGGAGGCCUGUUAUUCAAGAAUAGAGGUCAGAAACACUUCCCCUGUGGCUAGGUCUUCUCCACACUGCUUGGAGUUGUUUUCUACCAAAUUGGAUCUGAUCAUAUUCCUGGUAGGACCCCUUCUGCCCUCACCUCACACACAUUAGCAUCCUUAGAAGAAAGGCUCUCCAUCCAUUCAGAAUCUUAUUAUUGCCUCUAUAAUUAUUAUAGUUAUGACUAUGACAAUCAUUAUAAAGAAAAUCAUCCAAAUGCAGUAAAGCAGAGGAAGGAGGGGACCCUAUGGCUCUGAGCACAGUCACAAGCCCAGCAAACACAGAGAAGUAGCAACAGCUCUCCUCCCAGGCUCCCUUGAGGCUUCCAGGGAAGCAGAGUGUGAGCAACAGGGGUAGUGGGUAAAUAUACCAUGGUCAGAGAAAUCCCUUCCUUCCUUUUCCCUGCCCAAGCUUUGUGCAUUCUCAUUUCCCCUGCACCCCCUCUGUGACUGCCCUGGCUCAGGCCCUCACUGCCUCUUGCCUGGGUUAUUGCAAUACUACCAUCACCUGCCCCCACCACCCAGGCUCCAGGCUCACCCAGACCCUCUAGAUUAACCCUACAAAGGUCUUCCCCAAGGAGGGGCUAUCAUGUCACUGCCUUGUUCGAAGUCAGCAGGAGCUUCUCCUUGCAUAGAGAGUACAUGUGGACGUCUUCAUCACAGCUAGAAAACCUUCAUAGACUGGCCACCACUUUAUCCUACUCAGCACACAGUCAGAAAGACAGACUUGCUGGGCCUGCACACAUACCACUUGUUCACUCCUGGCAUCCCCACUUCUGUGUGUACCCAGUCUCUUAGUCUGACUGCCUGGAAUGGCCUACCAUCUUUCCAUAUGACUCAAAGGCCUUCAGAGUGCUGGCUCAAACUACGUCCUCCAAAUAUUUCCCACUGUUGGAAUCCUCAACUCUUCUCCUCUCCAAAGGAUUUUACUUGCAUUCAGAAUAUCCUGCCUUGGGUUUGAGCUACUAAGUUCCCGUUAUUAGUUCCUUUGACUCUACGAUCCUUGAAGGUCAGCAUCUAUACCUGAGUCCCUUCCACUCGAGUAUGUAGCACCAGGAAAUAGUUGGAGCGGAAUAAAUGCCUAGUGGGUUGCAGGUAUAUUUUAUCACAUGCCUUUGAUUUGUCCUCACCUUUGCCUCCGUGAGAUGAGUGCUUCCGUAUAACCACCAUGGCAAUUUAUGGGCACAUGAGCAAAGAGGGGGCCAACUUGGCCCCCUCUAGACCACCCAAGUGGUGGAACCAUACAGAGAGCCAAGUUCAAUGCAAAAGAAGCAAGGCCAGGCCCAUGAGGGUGGCACACUCUGUGGUGGGGAAAUGCCUGAGGUGACUCUGAAUCCAAAGAAUAUCAGAUAGUGAUUGAGGAAUUCAGACCCUGUGUCUGGGUCCUGGUUUCAUGAUUUCUACCUGUAUGAUCCUAGG